CAAGUAGUAGUUUAAAUUAAAACUCUAGCAUUGGAAGCUAAAGAUCAGGACUAAACCUGUUACUUGA
rnacentral:tRNA from 1 species